rnacentral:rRNA from 1 species
UACGAAGGGGGCUAGCGUUGUCCGGAAUUAUUGGGCGUAAAGGGCUCGUAGGCGGUUUGUCGCGUCGGGAGUGAAAUCAUCUGGCUUAACUGGGUGCUUGCUUUCGAUACGGGCAGACUAGAGGUAUGCAGGGGAGAACGGAAUUCCUGGUGUAGCGGUGAAAUGCGCAGAUAUCAGGAGGAACACCGGUGGCGAAGGCGGUUCUCUGGGAAUGUCCUGACGCUGAGGAGCGAAAGUGUGGGGAGCGAACAGG